rnacentral:snoRNA from 1 species
AUUCCAUGAUAGGGACAUUCUAGGAUGUUGUCUUGGAAGCACUCCCAUGCCUCUGGAACGGAUUCAUCAUGUUGUUGCUGAAAACUUGUAAUCUUCCCACUGAGAGC